rnacentral:RNase_P_RNA from 1 species
UGAGUUGGCUGGGCGGCCGCGGACUAUGCGCCAAACCAUGGGGGGACAGGUGCGGCGGAUGGUUCGAGGAAAGUCCGGACUUCACAGAGCAGGGUGAUUGCUAACGGCAAUCCGAGGUGACUCGCGGGAAAGUGCCACAGAAAACAAACCGCCACCGGCGACGGUGGUAAGGGUGAAACGGUGCGGUAAGAGCGCACCAGCAUUCCGGGUGACCGGAGUGGCUAGGCAAACCCCACCCGAAGCAAGGCCAAGAAUGUCGCAGAGGGGGGCGACAGCGCAGACGCCCGAGGGCUGCUCGCCCGAGUCUGCGGGUAGGCCGCUUGAGGCACCCGGCAACGGUGUGUCCAGAUGGAUGGUCGCCGCUUCGCCGCCGUGGUAACACGCGGCGGCGAGGGACAGAAUCCGGCUUACAGGCCAACUCAUCCG